UUUGAUCCUGGCUCAGAACGAACGCUGGCGGCAUGCCUAACACAUGCAAGUCGAACGAACCUAAAUCUUCGGNUGGACGGUGAGUGGCGCACGGGUGCGUAACGCGUGGGAACCUGCCUUUAGGUUUGGAAUAACGGUUGGAAACGACUGCUAAUACCAAAUAAUGUCUUCGGACCAAAGAUUUAUCGCCUUUAGAUGGGCCCGCGUUGGAUUAGCUAGUUGGUAGGGUAAAGGCCUACCAAGGCGACGNUCCAUAGCUGGUCUUAGAGGAUGAUCAGCCACACUGGGACUGAGACACGGCCCAGACUCCUACGGGAGGCAGCAGUGGGGAAUAUUGGACAAUGGGCGCAAGCCUGAUCCAGCAAUGCCGCGUGAGUGAUGAAGGCCUUAGGGUUGUAAAGCUCUUUUACCAGGGAUGAUAAUGACAGUACCUGGAGAAUAAGCUCCGGCUAACUCCGUGCCAGCAGCCGCGGUAAUAAGGG
rnacentral:rRNA from 1 species